ACCAUGUGAUGAAAGGAUUGGAACUUGCAGCCUCCUCCCCAACCUAGGAAGGAGAGAGGAGCUGAAGGUUGUGUUGAUCACCAGUCAAUGGCCAAUGAUGUAAUCAAUCAUGCCUAUGUAAUAAAGCCUCCAUAGAAAACCAAAAGGACAGGGUUCAGGGAGCUUCCAGGCCAAGUUCACAGUUUCACUUCCAGUGAGCACCAGGUGACUUUUGUUCCAAGUCAGAAAGACCUCACUCUCAGCUCCAGCAACUCCCUUCUAUUUGAUAGGCCUGAAAAGCAUUCAUCAGGAUGGUGCUUGUUGAUACAAGAAGGGAGAGGGUUGGGUGGAUAUGUUUAAUUGUAAAUUCACAGAUAAGGGAUACAUUUUGCAAAAUAAAAAUAAGAUCAGCUAUG